AACGUAGGAGGCAAGCGUUAUCCGGAUUUACUGGGCGUAAAGCGCGCGCAGGUGGCCUCGUAAGUCGGACGUGAAAUCUCUCGGCUCAACUGGGAGGGGUCGUUCGAUACUGCGGGGCUUGAGGGCGGGAGAGGGAAGCGGAAUUCCCGGUGUAGCGGUGGAAUGCGCAGAUAUCGGGAGGAACACCAGUGGCGAAGGCGGCUUCCUGGCCCGUUCCUGACACUCAAGUGCGAAAGCGUGGGGAGCGAACGGGAUUAGAUACCCCCGUAGUCC
rnacentral:rRNA from 1 species